CCUACGGGAGGCAGCAGUAGGGAAUCUUCCGCAAUGGACGAAAGUCUGACGGAGCAACGCCGCGUGAACGAUGAAGGCCUUCGGGUCGUAAAGUUCUGUUGUUAGGGAAGAACAAGUAUCGGAGUAACUGCCGGUACCUUGACGGUACCUAACCAGAAAGCCACGGCUAACUACGUGCCAGCAGCCGCGGUAAUACGUAGGUGGCAAGCGUUGUCCGGAAUUAUUGGGCGUAAAGCGCGCGCAGGCGGUCCUUUAAGUCUGAUGUGAAAGCCCACGGCUCAACCGUGGAGGGUCAUUGGAAACUGGGGGACUUGAGUGCAGAAGAGGAAAGCGGAAUUCCACGUGUAGCGGUGAAAUGCGUAGAGAUGUGGAGGAACACCAGUGGCGAAGGCGGCUUUCUGGUCUGUAACUGACGCUGAGGCGCGAAAGCGUGGGGAGCAAACAGGAUUAGAUACCCUGGUAGUCCACGCCGUAAACGAUGAGUGCUAAGUGUUAGGGGGUUUCCGCCCCUUAGUGCUGCAGCUAACGCAUUAAGCACUCCGCCUGGGGAGUACGGCCGCAAGGCUGAAACUCAAAGGAAUUGACGG
rnacentral:rRNA from 1 species